GAUGAACGCUGGCGGCGUGCCUAAUACAUGCAAGUCGAGCGAACGGACGAGAAGCUUGCUUCUCUGAUGUUAGCGGCGGACGGGUGAGUAACACGUGGAUAACCUACCUAUAAGACUGGGAUAACUUCGGGAAACCGGAGCUAAUACCGGAUAAUAUUUUGAACCGCAUGGUUCAAAAGUGAAAGACGGUCUUGCUGUCACUUAUAGAUGGAUCCGCGCUGCAUUAGCUAGUUGGUAAGGUAACGGCCUACCAAGGCAACGAUGCAUAGCCGACCUGAGAGGGUGAUCGGCCACACGAGAACUGAGACACGGUCCUGACUCCUACGGGAGGCAGCAGUAGGGAAUCGUCCGCAGUGGGCGAAAGCCUGACGGAGCAACGCCGCGUGAGUGAUGAAGGUCUUCGGAUCGUAAAACUCUGUUAUUAGGGAAGAACAUAUGUGUAAGUAACUGUGCACAUCGUGACGGUACCUAAUCAGAAGGCCACGGCUAACUACGUG
rnacentral:rRNA from 1 species